UGGCGGCGUGCUUAACACAUGCAAGUCGAACGAUGAAGCCCAGCUUGCUGGGUGGAAGAGUGGCGAACGGGUGAGUAACACGUGAGUAACCUGCCCUGAACUCUGGGAUAAGCACUGGAAACGGUGUCUAAUACUGGAUACGACCUAUCACCGCAUGGUGUGUGGGUGGAAAGAUUUAUCGGUUCUGGAUGGACUCGCGGCCUAUCAGCUAGAUGGUGAGGUAAUGGCUCACCAUGGCGACGACGGGUAGCCGGCCUGAGAGGGUGACCGGCCACACUGGGACUGAGACACGGCCCAGACUCCUACGGGAGGCAGCAGUGGGGAAUAUUGCACAAUGGGCGCAAGCCUGAUGCAGCAACGCCGCGUGAGGGAUGACGGCCUUCGGGUUGUAAACCUCUUUUAGUAGGGAAGAAGCGAAAGUGACGGUACCUGCAGAAAAAGCACCGGCUAACUACGUGC
rnacentral:rRNA from 1 species